rnacentral:snRNA from 1 species
AGAUGUGAGGGUGAUCUGGCUUCGACAUCUGUCACCCCAUUGAUCGCCAGGGUUGAUUUGGCUGAUCUGGCUGGCUAGGUGGGUGCCCCCUCCUCCCUCACUGACCCAUGAGCAUCCCUCCCGAAGCUGUGUGCUCAGUGGAAGAGGAUGACCUUCCCCGCAGAGGAGAGGAUCAGUUUUGGGUCAAGGGUAUACGAGUAGCUGUGCUCCCCUACUAGAGCAAGCUCUAAAUAGAAAUAUGUUUAUUUAAUACCCUAAAUAUCCAAUCAGGUAGAUUAUCAUCACUUUUUUU